UUGCAUUCUUAAAAACCCCCUUGGAGUUGACGGUAGCUUCUGGGACAAGCAAGAAUGCUAAAGCAAAGAAAAUAGAUCUUUCCAAGGUGAAGUGUCUUGUCUUUUGUUUGCACUUCACUAUUUCAGAUCUUUGACAAAU
rnacentral:snoRNA from 1 species